UCUUACAGAUGAGCAAGAAAGUGGUUUCCUUGAGAUGGAAUCUACUCCUGGUGAAGAUGCUGUGAA
rnacentral:pre_miRNA from 1 species